rnacentral:rRNA from 1 species
AAUCAUCCACAUUGGACGAAAGCCUGAUGGAGCAACGCCGCGUGAGUGAAGAAGGUUCUCGGAUCGUAAAGCCCUGUUGUAAGGGAAGAACGAGUACAGGAGUAACUGUCUGUACCUUGACGGUACCUUACCAUAAAGUCACGGCUAACCACGUGCCAGCAGCCGCGGUAAUACGUAGGUGGCAAGCGUUGUCCGGUAUUAGUGGGCGUAAAGCGCGCGCAGGAGGUCCUUUAAGUCUGAUGUGAAAGCCCACGGCUCAACCGUGGAGGGUCAUUGGAAACUGGAGGACUUGAGUACAGAAGAGGAAAGCGGAAUUCCACGUGUAGCGGUGAAAUGCGUAGAGAUGUGGAGGAACACCAGUGGCGAAGGCGGCUUUCUGGUCUGUAACUGACGCUGAGGUGCGAAAGCGUGGGGAGCAAACA